UCGCUUGAUUUAUUCAAGAGGAAAGUCCGGACACCGCAGGGCAAUAGUGCUAGAUAACGUCUAGUGAGGGUGACCUUAAGGAAAGUGCAACAGAAAAUAACCGCCACAUAUUGUGGUAAGGGUGAAAAUGUGAGGUAAGAGCUCACAAAAUGCUAUAGAGAUAUGGCAUUGGUGUAAACCCCACUUGGUGCAACACCAAAAAAGAAAGGUAAAGACGGCCCGUCAUCUUUCGUGGUUGGUGGCUUGAAAUAUACAGCAAUGUAUAUUCUAGAUAAAUGACUAUUUAAAACAGAAUCCGGCUUAUGAA
rnacentral:RNase_P_RNA from 1 species